UCUCAGUGAUGUCAAAAAUUGAUGACGAGUCUGACGAUUUCCAUUCUUAAACCUUGAUGUGAACUGAGGCAUUUGUCUGAGAGAA
rnacentral:snoRNA from 1 species